GACGAACGCUGGCGGCGUGCUUAACACAUGCAAGUCGAACGGAAAGGCCCUGCUUUUGUGGGGUGCUCGAGUGGCGAACGGGUGAGUAACACGUGAGUAACCUGCCAUUGACUUUGGGAUAACUUCAGGAAACUGGGGCUAAUACCGGAAAGGAGCUCCUGCUGCAUGGUGGGGGUUGGAAAGUUUCGGCGGUUGGGGAUGGACUCGCGGCUUAUCAGCUUGUUGGUGGGGUAGUGGCUUACCAAGGCUUUGACGGGUAGCCGGCCUGAGAGGGUGACCGGCCACAUUGGGACUGAGAUACGGCCCAGCCUCCUACGGGAGGCAGCAGUGGGGAAUAUUGCACAAUGGGCGGAAGCCUGAUGCAGCAACGCCGCGUGCGGGAUGACGGCCUUCGGGUUGUAAACCGCUUUCGCCUGUGACGAAGCGUGAGUGACGGUAAUGGGUAAAGAAGCACCGGCUAACUACGUG
rnacentral:rRNA from 1 species